AUACCUUUCUCGGCCUUUUGGCUAAGAUCAAGUGUAGUAUCUGUUCUUAUCAGUUCAAUAUUUGAUAUGUGGUUCAUUGAUCCACAUGAUAUUAACUCAAUUUUUUAGGGAGAAAGGUUCAUCAAAGUAGCUUGCUACUUGGGCGUUUGCUUGUUGCCCUGGUCUUGCACUAUUGCUUGGGCCUGGCGCAUCCCAC